rnacentral:rRNA from 1 species
AUGCCAGACUCCUACGGGAGGCAGCAGUGGGGAAUAUUGGGCAAUGGGCGCAAGCCUGACCCAGCAACGCCGCGUGAAGGAAGAAGGCUUUCGGGUUGUAAACUUCUUUUAAGAGGGAAGAGUAGAAGACGGUACCUCUUGAAUAAGCCACGGCUAACUACGUGCCAGCAGCCGCGGUAAUACGUAGGUGGCGAGCGUUGUCCGGAAUUACUGGGUGUAAAGGGAGUGUAGGCGGGAAGGCAAGUCAGAAGUGAAAAUUAUGGGCUCAACCCAUAGCCUGCUUUUGAAACUGUUUUUCUUGAGUGAAGCAGAGGCAAGCGGAAUUCCUAGUGUAGCGGUGAAAUGCGUAGAUAUCAGGAGGAACACCGGCGGCGAAGGCGGCCUGCUGGACCGUAACUGACGUUGAGGCUCGAAAGCGUGGGGAGCAAACAGGAUUAGAUACCCUUGUA